rnacentral:tRNA from 1 species
GCCCGGGUAGCUCAGUCGGCAGAGCAGCUCACUCGUAAUGAGCAGGUCAGGGGUUCGAAUCCCCUCUCGGGCUCUA